GUGCAUUUGUAUGGUCUGGAGAAGGUUACUUGUCUUAUAGUUUAGCUGCUUUAUCUGUCUUUGGUUUUAUCGCUUGUUGUUUUGUAUGGUUCAAUAAUACAGCUUAUCCGAAUGAGUUUUAUGGACCCACCGGGCCAGAAGCUUCUCAAGCUCAAACAUUUACUUUUCUAG
rnacentral:rRNA from 1 species